AACAGCUUUCAUUAGCUUGAUAUACUUUAAAUUAUCUAUGGUAGGUGCAUUUUUGAUUAUGCAUGCAAUUACAAUAAUUACCUUCCCAACCCAAUACAAAGGAAAGGAAAACUUUUUACAAAAUGUUAAUAUUAUUCGACUAGCAAAUUUACCGUGUGUUCGUUUAUUUGAAUUUCACGUAAAUUCUUUUUUCAAACUCGCCUUCGAAUCCACUGUUUGCAAAAAUAAUUGCCAGCUAUUGAAUCCCCACGUGACAAAGAAUUCCGAAUAUAAACAAUCAAAACCACUGAUUGUUUGCAAUCGAAAUUAGGAUCACUUUUGUAUAGUGAUGCGAGGUGAAUCUCAUUUGAUUAUUUAAUCAAAAUUUAUAGUUUCGUUAGUUGUACACCUUUAUUUAUUUAUCGUUAAUUAAUAUGGUUGCUCGUAAAAUUAAUUACUAUGGUAAACAUGUCAAAAUGCAGUCAGUAUUAUGGUUCAGGUUAUAUUUGUUUAUUAUUCAUAUUCGUUAAGAAAUAAAUGAAUAAUUUUGACGUUGUUUCUCACGAAACACUGAUUAUUUUCGCAGCUUUCGCAAACAAUUUGAUUCGUACGUAUCACGGGAGCGUGUACUAACAAACGGAUUCUAGAACUGCAAACACCCUCGUUUGCAAAUGUAUUUUCGCGAAGGGAGUUAAUCUAUUCACGACAAUACGGGGAGGAUAAUAUUAUUACAGAAUUCUGGGAUGGUUUCGUUUCUGCACAAAUUCAAUGUCUCUUCCAUUUCGUUUUCUCGUUAAGGUACCACCGCAUGCUACAUCCCAGCAGACAGUCAAAUCAAAUCGUAUCUUUCAAAAAAUGGAAGAUUUUUUUUAAUAAUAAUACGAAAUUUUUCACAAAUUGUUUAGCACCAUUUUCACGGUACACGAUUCAAAAAUAUCCGAUAGAAAGCUCGACUCGGCGAAAGCGUAAAAGUAAAAAAGCAUUUCAUUUAAAAACGUCACCGUCCUAAUUGUUACGUCGCAUUUGAACAUUCGGCGGGAGAGGAAGAUUGAAGGAAAAAAAGAAAAACCUCGUAGACCUUUCGACGUUUUAAUUAAUGCACCCCGACGAGUGGUUGCGAGUCGCGACAUUCCCGGAAAUGUAAUAUAAAAGUCGGUGCGAGUUGCUUGCUUCUCGAGCGGAAACGCAACGGUUCCCUCGUUCCCCCGUCUCGAGCGUUGAUGUCACGAAUAUUUCGUCGUGUUUAACGAAGUGUCGACGCGAAGAAACGGCUGGAAAACUGUUGCCUUUCCUUGGUAGGGUUAGAAAAGCGGUUGAAAAAGAGGGUGGGCGCGAAAAGGGGGACGGGCCGGGGCCGAAAAGUAUGGUGGCUCGUUAUCGCGAGAAACCUUCCUGGUGCCUUGUUGUUCCUUCGUGGGGUUCUCGAGAAGAUCAACGAACGUCUUGGUAAAAGCGUCGUUGAAAAGAAAAGGGACGAGGUACGUGGACGUUGGAAAAGAAAAGUCCGGUGGAAAAGUCGAAGAAGAAAGGGAAUGAUGAAAGAAUUUAAUUGUUCCACACUCGACGGAAUAGUUUUUUGCACACCUGCGAAGAAAGUUUGCUCGUAAAGCUAAUUGUUCUGCAGAUUUUUGCCGCCAUCCUCUUUGUACCCAUUCAUUUCCGUGAUUGUUGCGUUUCUUUUUCCGUGCCAUACUUAUCCUCGCCUCUACUUACUUUAAUUUACUGAAUGAUAAUGAAUAAGAUAACAUUAAAAGUGGAUAAAGUUGUUAGCAUCUGUUUUAUUCUUAUAAUUUCUACAUUGUUUGUUACAGAUGUUUAUUUAUUUUAAUUGCGGUAAAAAAAUUUAUUCGAAUUUUAAAAAGUAAUUAAGAGAUUGCAGAUAAUAAUUUUUCAUUGAAGAAAAUAUAAAUAAAUAUUUAUCCUGAGGUAACACUUUUAAAUGGUGAUAUUCUUGUUUCAUAUUCGCUUUUGUUUUUAUUUUCGCAGUGGUAUUGUUAAACUGUGAUUUACCAAAUACUGAAUACCGCAAUGUCAUUCUCGAAGAUGGAACACAGAACAAUGUAUCGCUUUUCUUCUAUUCCCACGGAAAAACUUUCGUGUCCGUUGUCUGAUCAAACUUUCAGUAUUUUACUUCCAACUUUCCGAUGCUUUCUUUUUACGACCUGGAAUAUAAAGGAUGCAAUCGCAAUAGCGAAACGAUCUUCUUACGAAUGCAUCUUACCAUCGAAUGAUGAUUUUCAAAUUGCACCAAUAAAAUUUUGAUUAUUCCAAUUUUCACGAUAUAUCCUCGCUUGUACCAUAAUACACGUAUAAAGACAUUUUUUUUUUUUUCAAAUUUAACUUCAACUUAACAAGAUUAAAUAAUGUAAAUAAGAAAGUAUCCAUGACAGGCGAGAAACCGUGAAAUCUAGUUUCCACCGAUAGAAGAACAGCUUAUUUUACCAAAGAAUCUUUUACAUCCCUCCAACUUUGAAUCCGCAUACCACUAUCAUCGAAAUCUCGUUGUCGAAGUAGGAAAGUACCUAUGGGGAGAUUUCGAGCGCAUGGCGACGCGUACCGAAGCUCUGGCAAGUUUGCAAAUCCAAUAGACUUCGACGCUGGUAUGCCCUUAACCCCGGAGCUAUUUGUUCUUCUUCUUUUAUUUGCAUUUUUCUCCCUCGUUGUUUCCCUUUUUCAUUUACUGUUAAAUCACAGUUCGUAUGCGCAUCAAUAAUAAUGGAAUUAAUGAUUUUUCAAUUAGGAACAUGAUUUUUAAUUGUGAAAUUAGAUUUGCUAUUAUAAUAUUAAGAGAGUUUCGUUAGAAGAUCCAAAUGGUGCAAAAUUAAUAACGCAGGAAGUUUAAUUAAUAUAAAAAAUUGCUCAAAAUUAUAAAUUUACCAAAUUCAUAAAAUUUGUAUUUUUCACCUUACGACUAGUGUCAAGUUAACCCUUUCGACUCAAGUACUUUCCAUUUGGAUUUUAUUCAAUAAAAAUGAUCCUACAAACAAAAUACGACAUUACCCCACGUUGACGGAAGGUGUGAAAGGAACAGCGAUAAAAAAGAAAAGGAAGGAAUGUGUAAAGAGGAUCGAAAUAUCGUGACAGGGGGAUGAAAAGUAGGCGUGCUGCCGGAAACAAAGGAUCGGGGGGCCCGUUGGUGGUUUCCUUACGAUGCUGUUAAAUUAAAUUACACGCAGUCCCCCGUACAGUCACGAGGGCACACUUGGCACGAGCAGCGAGUUACCCCCAUGCAUAAUGCAUACGGUAUUUUGCUACAGUAGACGCGACUUCAACCUCUGCCCUCCUUUUCUGCGAAUUCGUGAGACGUGCUACACCCACGAACGACAGGCCAGACCACGAAGAAACUUCCUUGAGAGUCGUCAGGAUCCUCGUAGGGGUUAGGGUCGAAGGGUCGCUAAUAGAACUGCAAAUACCGGUGAUUUAGAGAAAAAAGGGGAGCACAUUUUAUUUCUCUCGACAGGAAAAGGGAAUAGACACGAGUAUUGAGUGUAGUUGAUUUUGUGACAGGUUCAUCCGUGAUUUCUGUUAUUAUUUUAAUUAUUAGGAAGGAAAGGGUGGUAUUUGACCCCCCGGUAAUUUUUAUAUUGCAGUCAAAUUCAAUUAAAUUUUAUAGAUUUUAGAAAGGAAUAUACAAUUAGGGUCAAAUUGAUUGAAAAUUAUCUAGAAACAUUCUAAACCCAGUGACACGAAGUCCAAGAUGGGCAAACAAAUCGGUGGACCAGGUUUCUGGUAAAUCUGUUCUCUGGCCACGUGUCCGGGCGUAUCCGAUAAUACGAGAGACCACAAUGGCCGUCGGUUAACGUGGCCAAAAACGCUCCGGGGUUGCAGGAAACGCGGAUACAUAAGCUUGUAUCGUUAUGCGUUACGGGAGAUUGUAACGUUAGUUGCAUUAUAGGCGAUGUAAUUGCAAAUUCCGCUCGAUUACGAGCAUCAGCGAGAGGGAGGCGCGAGCGCGAACGUACGUGACUGAACUUGCGAUCGUAUCGACGGGAUUUGCUUUUAUUCGACCGGGGGCCCCGUUGUCAACGGGAUUUCUCUCCCGUUUCUGUGUACGUGCGUGUCUGGAAGAUAGAGGACUGCCCUGGAUAUACGCGUCGCGUGGUCCUCGAUGCGCGGAUAAUCGCGCCACCUUUCGCCUCGUUAAAGCCCGCGGAGGUACGUGCCACGAAAACCAAUGCCCUGUCGCUCCUGCGAACAAUUAAUCACCCGUUGCCUCGGAUCUUCGCCACGUUUCGUGAUAUCGAACGCGACGGAUUGUGACGGAUAUCCUGCACGUGUAAUGGAACUUUUUCCGUUGAUCCCUCCUAGAUAUUGGAAAUAAUAGCCCUCCGUUAUUACCUGGAUGCGUAUCAGUGAAUGAUUGUUAGGGAGGCGUAUCACUUUGAAAACAUAUAACAUAUCAAUUUAAUUUCUGAAGCUAGGUAUCAAUUAUAGCAAAUAAAUUUACAGUUUAGUAUUUUUCGUUAAAAAUAUAUUUAAUUUUCAAUUGCCUACAUUCCAAAUUGCUAACAGAAUUUUAUAUUUAGUACGUUAUGGAGAAUUCAUAGUUUUCUUGAGAUAAAACUAAAGUUCCAAAGUGCUGUAUCUCCUAAGUUAUAAAAUAUGAGCAGAAACUGAUUUCACUUAUUACUGUACUCCGAGCUUUAAGUGUCUCGUAAAGGGUGCUCGUUCGCCGAUUGAAAGCACAAGUUUGGCCGGUGACGGAAUUUAAGGAAGAUAAAAUGGCGUCUCGUAGUUGCCUGGAAUUAUGCUAAACCGAGCGAAAGGAACGAUUCCAGUCACGAACAGUGUGCGUUCGCGGUUCUUAGGAACAUCGAGCAGUCCCUUGCUGUGAAAAUUGAGUUUACGCGAAAGUUACUUCAAGUUUCGAGGGAUUUCUGAGCUUCUUCGGGGCGGCCGCUGCCCUCCGAGGGAGAUAGCUAACGGAAGUUUCACGCGAACACCAGUAACCGACCAGUUUACAGUGGCUCUUAUCAAUCCAAUCUGGCAUUCCAUGCUGAACGUUCUUUAAACAAAGGUGGUUAAUCAAAAAUAUGAUUUAUCAUACUAUUUACAUUGUUCGAAAUAGACGUAUCACUGUUACUUCCAAUGCAAUUCCAUUUUUAAAGUGCAUCGAUGCACUUAUCAAAAAGUAAAUUAGAGAAAAAUAGAUAUUUCUAAAGCAUUUAAUUUUUCUUUAUUUGCAGUAAAAAUAAGUGAGAUAAAUUUUGAAGCAAACGUGUUGCAUUUGAAAAAACAUAACACUGAGAGAGCAGAAAAGUAAGUAAACAUUUUUCUUACUCCUCUUCACGAUACGGUGGAGAUGACGAGGCGACACUUUCUCAAGGAUUUUUCGCGAUAUUUUGCGAGAGAAUACCGUGGACUUGGUUCACGUUGCCUUCGUGAAUGACACUGUCUACUGUAGCAAGUAAGUAGUAAAAGCGUUCUUGGAUCCGACCGCGAUACCCAACUGUGCUAUAAAGCGGUUUUCGGUGUACCGCCGACCAACCAGCGAGAUAAAUUCAAACUGAACGUGGCCGAAUGCCGCGUUUAAGUACCUGUUCCCUUCGUAUGCUACGAAAUUUCAUGCUAUCUUCGAUUUUAUUGCUCGCAGUGACAAUAUUCUUUAUUUCGAACUAGUCUUUCCUAUUUAUUCAAACUUCUGUGUUUUCUUAAAAAUAUCUCAAAAUCGAAUUCUAUUUUUUUUUAUAUUCGUUCGUUAUCUGUUAUUCGAAUGGAAAAAGUUUAGCCAACGUUGAAUAGAAUCCACGUUCGAAGCGAAAUACAAAACGGGUGGUAAGUUACGAGGGCGACGAGCGCAGAUUUAUUCAGGCAUUUUACAGUAACCGAUUAAAAGGAAGGCCGCGAUAUACCGUUGAAAAGGAAUAUAAAGAGUCACAAUUGAAUCUAGCAGAAAGAGGAACGGUACCUUCGUGCCUGGGCACAAAGGGCCACCUUCUCCCGUGAACUCUCGGCCAAGAAAAUUUCACGGAGCUGCAGUAAUUAAAACACGGACCGCUCGAACUGACAAGCAAAGCCGACCGUUAAACUGGUUCUUGAGUGCUUAUUGUAAGCGAUGAAAAUUAAAGAUCGUGGAAACGACACGGCUUCCAUGGGGAACAAUGCUCUCCGGACCAUUGAAAUGGGAAACGACUGGACUCUCGGUCAGUUGAUUCGAUACACCAAAAGAAAAUUACAUAUAAUAUUUAUUAAGCUGUUCGAAUCUUUGAAAAAGUUCCUAUUCAUAUUUAUCUAAUUAUCGCAUCACCCAUUUCUUGCAAUAUUAAUUAACAAAUUUACAAAUUUUUAGUCAUGGUUUCCUCACUUUCCCAGGGAAAUUUUUCCUCAAAAUUUUAAUUUUGACGAUGUUAUUAUUAAAAAUAAUUUGAUUAUAGUUUGAUAACACUGAACGCAAAUAAUAAUAACAUUUUGUUUCUAUUCUCCGUAUUAUUGUCAAACGUUUAUAAAACAAAUUACCGUGCUGGCAAUUCGAGAAAGUUAUUCAAUUUAGAUUAAAAGAUAAAAAUUCAUAAUAAAAUGGAGAAUAAGAACACUGUCUGAUAAUAGAAACGAUUCCAGCCUUGUUAUUAUGACUUACAUCCUGCAAGCGGAAUGGAAGAGGAAAUUUACCGUGGCAGGAAAUUGAAAAGGGGUUGGGGUGGGAGGGUAGGAACAAAGGGAGCUUAAGUAAUUAAUUGUGAAACCGCGAACACGCGGUAAGAUAUGAAUAAAAAAAGAAUGAUACGGAUUAAUAACCGUAGAUACAUCUCGUGUCAGGCAAUCGGAAAAGAGACUAGUCAAGUAGGAAGAUAAUAAGAAAAAUGAGGAGAGAUUGCUGCUCUUUCGGAUUUUCAAGAUGACGCGCGAGUCUUUUGAGAAACUUUGCCGUGUAUAACUUUCAUUACAGCAGCUUUUUUGCGGCUUGUUUGCUAUAAUACACGGCUGCGCUGCCUGUUAUUCGAUAGCUGCGAAAGUUUAUGAUACGAUAAAUAUUUUCUGGGUAAACUUUGGAAAAUCGAAAAUAUCAAUCACCUGUGUGUAUCUAUUUUCUUCUUUUUUGGAACAAGUAUAAUUAAUAAUUAUAGUAUGGGCCAAAUGGAAAUUGACUAUACUAUUUUUGUGUAUUUUUCAAUAUUCGACUAAGCAAUUACAAUUUUCAUUUUUAGAAUCCGAUCCGACGAUUGUCUUCGUAGAUGCAUUUGUAAUUAAUCGAAUGGCGGAUGUGUGGCUGCGUGUCGAUUCACAAAGUCCCCGAGUCGCUUAUAGUAAACGUUAGAGCGAAGGAGAAAUUAUUUAGCAGCCGUUACAUGACACCGAUUACGAAUUCUCUUGCUACCGUUUUACUGAACCAAGUAAAUUCCAUCUCGCUCCGCUGAGAGAAUCCGUAUGGAACUCUCAAGAUCGACAAUACGACGUCUGUCAAAUGGAUUUCAAUCGGGUAAAUGAAAACCGUGUAAUGUAAUUGAAACGUGUCGAUUUCGCGCUGUAAUAAUUACGAAAUGUGUCUUGUGCUAAGUGAAUCGCAUAGUUUGCUCCGUGUAUAACUGUUGUUUCGCGGAGGAUUGUUCAGGUGUGACAAUUUCAGUCGAAAUUUGAAUCAUACAGAAUGACGUAUCUAACUUCUGAGAUGUCUAACUAAAAUAAUUAACAGCUAUCGAAUAUUCCAAAUUUCUUUAAUGAAAUAUUUCACCCUUGAAUUUAAAAUAUUUUAACAUUGUACUGCGAUACUCAUUUAUUACUUGAUCUGAAGAAAAAAAAUGGCUGGAUAAAUUUUCAAUUUUCACGCUCACAUUUCUAGAUUUUUCAUCCUUUGAUAGCAUAAUCAUUGGGUCGCGUUUGCAUGUGCCCGGUAGACUUCAAAAUAAUCUUAUCAAAUUCUCCCCUGGUAUGCAGUCGAACCGAGGGUUCGAGCUCGAUUCCUUUUUAUUCGAAUCACGAACCAAAUCAAAACCGAAAGACGAAGAAAAGAAAAUAAUAAUCCUCUUUCCGAUUCCCGUAGAGGUUUCGCGAAGUGCUUCGUUUCCUUCAACUAUUUUGCUAUAACCAGUAUAGAGACCAGCCAUGGAAGUUGUUAUUCGAUAAAGUAGGAUUGAAAAGUAAGCAAACGCUUGAAAUGCAAUAGAAUUUCAAUUGCUUUAAGGAUUUAUCAUUUCCAAAAUUAUUUCUGAAAAUGGAAUAACGUUAAUAAAGUAAACGCAUGAUUUUCAAACGAUAAAAACCUUGAGGAAUUAAAAUUAAAAUUAGGGCUCUCUCCAUGGUCCGCUGUAUUAGGGUUAAUAAAGAAAGGCAAGGCUAAAAACCCUUAGAGUAAUUACCCAUAUAAUAAAAGGACCGAAGUAGUAAAUAAAUUAAUAAAAAUUUUCCUGAGAAAUUAACUUUCUCGGCUAAUACCACUUUUCUUGCGAACCAAGAAUGUGAUAUUUUAAGUAAUGUCAUUUUGAAGAGUGUUCGGGUCUGUUGUCUAGUAUGCACAGCGAACUGUGUACCAAUGCAAGUAUGGUACUACUCGACAGGCUAAAAGCUUCAAAAAGGGAAAAGACUUUCGCGAUUUUCUUUUAUUAAGAAGCUGCCGCCUUGGAUACAACGAUUUACAGUCUCUUCUCUCUCUUCUUCGCCACUCUGCCGGAUGAAGAGACUCGAGAGACGAUCUUCUCCCUUUUCCUCUCGCCUCUCUGAUGCUUACUUCCUCUCUAGUAUCUUACUUCUUUUCGCGAGAGACCUUAAUCAUGCCUGGAAAGCCACGAAACGUAGUGCACGUAAUACACAUAGAACGUUAUGACGGAUCGUUGUAGUGUUAUAUUCUUCUUUUACGUAAUCAUUACUCUUCGCUCUACCUCGAAGAACACGAAGAGAAAUUUUGUAAUUGGUCCACACGUCUUUGAUCUAACUUUGAUCCAGUUAACUCGUUCGAGUACAAUUUCAUAUUUUUUAAUUAAAUUAAUUUACCAUUUAUUUCUAUAUUUCAUCGUUUAUUUAUUAAGUAAGCGAAGACACUUCUUCGAAAUUAAAUCAAUAUUCUAAUGAAUAAUAAAUUGUUAUUCUGAAAAAUAAUCAAUAUUCUAUAAAUCUUAAAUUCUUUUCUGUGUAUUUCGUUCCAUUUCCGAUCAAAUUAAAUUGAAACUAUUGAAAUAUGCAUAUUUCUAUUCGAAUUUAAAUAGACUAAAGUCUUUGCACCAAGUUUAGUUCUUCAGAUACACGUGUCUCUAUAGGAUGGGUCGAUUAUGAUACCAUAAAUUGUCGCGGUAAAUCAAUAUGAAGCAGAAAGCUAAACACAAACCGCGUGAUUUCGAUAGAAACUUCAUGUGAUUCUGGAAGAAGUUCAACGCGCUAUUAAUAAACAUUCCCUACGAUAUUUCUGUAUAGAGAUAACGAUAUCUCUUCAAAAAUAGUCAGAUAUCACAUUCAUGUCACUUUUAAUACUGUUACGUUUCUUAUGACUUUAAUAAAUUCCUCUCUAAUAAGGUUAAGACUAACGUUGUUCAUUUGUAAGAUACCAAAUAGAUAAGAUAAUUGUGAAUCUCGAUUUAGAACUCAAUUAGAAGGAAACCAUAUUGUCAGUAUUUAACUACACUAAUUAAAUGCAAAUAUUAAAUUUCUUCUCCUGAAAAAUUUUUUUAAAAUUAUUACAAUAUUAAUUUCAAACAAUGAUAUAAUAAUAAUACACAAUAGUCAAAACUUGCACUUAUUUAUUGUUUCAUUUUGAUAAAGAUACAUGUGAAUUUUUUAAAAAACUGCAUAGCUUCAGAAAUAGUUACGAAUAUUACUGGCAGGUGUAUCGGUAACAGUAAAUAUGGCUAUGCGGUUAUCUGAGAUAACCAAUUUAACAUAGCAGUCGUAAACUCCAUCGUGACAUUUAACAUAGAAAAAGUAAUACGCCACGUGGAACAUCGUUGAAGGUAGCCGUGCUAUUCCAAUUUCAAGCUGGCAAGAGCAUCUAAACACGCUAUGCUUUCAUACCUAGAGUUAUCAAUUCCCGGGCGGCGUACACCGUUAUAUAUUUCAUUCUUCCGGGUAUAAGAGAUCGAUCCGCAUUGUCGGUAUCGCUGUUGUGUUGCUUGCUACCCCUCGUUGCUGUUAACAUCCACGUCAACGUUGUCGGCCUCGGUACGUUGCUUGCCUAUCUUGCGCUAACGGUGCACGAGUGACGAUACCAGGACGAUCAACUAGAAUUUCGACGGGAUGAAUAGGUUUUGCAUAAAUGCUGAUUUCAUAGGAAUUUCAAAAUCUUCCAUUGUGAUUAUCCUGUAACCGGUAUCAAUCUUCUGAAUGCAAAACGUCUGGUUAAUGGUUAAUGGUAACAAACAAUAGAAUUCUAUUGGGUCAUUAAAUGAAACUUUCAUGAGAGAAAAGUGUUGCUAAAUGGCACUUGUGGCAUAUUAAUUUGAAGAUUAAGGUUUAAUAAAAAUUACCACUUACAUGCCCCGUUGCUAUCUUUAUUAAAAAAUAGAAAAUUCUGAAUUAUAAAAAUCAAUCGAGCUCAUUUCGAAAUAAAAGUUCUAACAUUAUUUCAUGACAGAAAAGUAUUAUAAAAUUGCACUUAUUAUAUGUCAAUUUAAAGCUUUAGGUUUGAGGAUUAAAAAAUAAAGCCACGAAGUGGAUUAGAAAAGAAUUUGUUUUCUUGCUUUAAUGAAAAAUUAAUUCACAAGGACUUUAAAGCUUCGAAAUGAAUGGCUUUUGAAAUUAUCGCACAGGGUUGUUGUAGUUUAAAUUAAAUAGUUUCUACGUAAUAUCUUAAUCACGCGAUUCAGAAUAUUUCAUACAUGCUGCACGCGUGCUUCGUCAGGGCUUGCACGAAUAUAACAUCGAGGGCAAUUUGUCGAUCGCAAUAUUGCAUACACAGCAAACUAGCUACGAAUAUUUAAUAUCAGUUUAAUAUUAAAGCACGCAGUGAAUGUUACAUAUCUAUUAUAAAGACCUAGAAAACAUUAUAAUCCAUUAAAUCACUCGUUGAAACUUUCGGUGUACCAUGGUAUUUCAAACAUAAUGUUUUAUUCCUCAAAAUAAACUUUUUAAUCUAUUUGCAAAUAUUUUAUCACUGGUGCACAAAAUAAUUAUUUUCUAAAUUAUUUCUUGAAUACAACUAUAUAUUGAAAAGUUUUUUUUCUAAUUUCCUUAAAAUUUUGUAAAUUUGACUAAAUAAUUGAGGAGUAAGGGAAUAUGUAUGUUCACCUACCAAAAGAUAAAGCCGAUUAUAGUUCUUGUACUUUGAACUUGUUACCAAAUUAUUACAUCGUAAACUAACUUUAGUAGUCCAUAAAUAAUAUUUUACCAUAAAGUUACUGUUAAACAACAAAUUAUACAAAAUUCAGUAUACCAAAUUCAGAUUGUUAAAUAAAAAAUAAAAAAAAGCAAGGGGUGAACUAUAAUCGAUUAGAAGUUCAAUCGGAUAUUUUAAAAAUUUUCACGCUUGGAAAUUUCUGGCAGUUUCGUGUUACUGAACAUCGAGACAACCAAAUUUUCAAUACGUUUGCGCGGCAUUUAAAAUAUUUUGCACUUUUUAAUAUUUUAUUUCGUAUAAAAAAAUAAACGAAAAAUGGAUGCGCAACGCGACCAAUAACUUUACAAUAUAAUAUGGCAUAUUUGGAAUAUUGAGUUACUGAUACGGGAAAUAGUAGUUUAUAAUGAAAAUUCCGUUGAAAAUUAUUUUCUUGGAAUAGAAGGUAAAAAUUAAAUACAUCAAAUUUUCAAACACAUCAAAAUGAUAAAUGUUAAAUUUUUUAUUUUAUAUUACUGAAAUUGUUAAAGUGCCUUUGUUGAUUUUCAUCGAAUCAAAAUCAUAUACGAAAAAUUCCAUUUUUCUAACUAUGUAUGUAUAACAUUAUUUCACAAAUGGAGAUGUGGUCUUCGUUAUUUGAAUUAUUGCUAAACACACACGCGUGUAAACGAUCGCGUAUACGUAACGAUGGAUUUAUUACUGUGAUAUGAUAUCUUACUAUUUAUUGUUAUUGAUUUAUCACUGGGAGAACGAUAGAAUUCCCAUUGCCCGGCAAUUUGCUCGAUUCGAUUGCCAUUGAAAAUGUUUGGAAGGUCCUCAAAUUAUCCAUUUAUCAGCCAUCAUCACCUUUCACGAUUUACAAGCAGAAAUUUUAAAUAAAAUCAAAUUUUUCAUUUGUUGAAAUCUUUUUAUUAAAAGUAUGAAAAAUGUUGAAACUCUUGAGGGGUCCUAAUUCGACAGGUGAAUAUUGCAGAUUGUCAGUCAAAAAUAUUGAAUUUAUAAUCAAAUUCGAUGACUAUAUUCACAGGUUGAACCUGAAAGUGAAAACACUGGAUAGAGAGUAUGGGUAUGAAAUUCAUGGAAAUUGGAUCGAAAGGAAAGCUCCAGACAAUAAAAAAACAACGAAAAAAUAUCGAUGAAUAAAUUUUAAUAGUGUAUCAAAUUUCUCUCGCCUAUUGCAUAUGAAAAAACAACCAUAAGUAAUAAAGUAAGUAAACAAUUAAUGAAAGAUUCCAUGUUACGAGGAAAAAAUAGCAGAAAGGUGAAUAAACUUUUCAUAUGAAGAAUGAAUUUCUUAUGCGUAGGAAAGACAAGCGUUCCUGAAAGAUUAAGCGAUUGUUUAGGAUAUAACGAACCGUUUCGAGUGAAAUGUACGUCCAAAUGAAUUCUAGAAACGCCGCUGGAAUUUUGAGCGUAAGAAGGCUGUGUACGUGUGUUCCGUCGGCCGCCUGAAAGGAAUGAGAAUGAAACAAAAGAGACGUGGCAGCGGAGCGUGGAUUACGCGUCUCACGUUCCUCAGUUAUACCAGACGUGAGUAUACUGUCACGGUUGCUUGUUGUAUUCCAUCUGGUCAAUUUCGAAGACCUAGCGUCACACGGUAACGAGGACACCUCCAGGAAUGAUCGAUACCAUGGCCAAUGCAUCGACGUACCUUUAGCCUAUUGCAUCCUCCUUCACUGACCAAUCCAAUCUUCGUUCAGACCAUUCGCGAUUAAUCCACUUGACCAUUGUUUUCUGAAUUUCCAAGUACCUACGUCAAAUUUUAGGUGUCCAUAAAAGGGUUGAACAGUAUUUUUAUACUGUUUUCGUGUAUUUCACAUUAUUUUUAUUUUCUAAAUUGAACACUGUAAAAACAUAUACGUAUUGAGAAUGAAAUAUCAACAGUGACGUUCAGCAGAAGAAUACUCGCACGUAAAUUUCUCAGACAGUCCUCUUAUGUCGUAAUCUUUAUUCCUUAUGUAAGAAUGUGAACUAUUUCAUAAGCACGUGUGUGUUUCCCCUUCACUCGUAGAGGAGAAACGUAUCUUGCUGGAAUUUUUAAUCGAUCCUAGUUUCCAGCUAUGAAUUGCACAUAAAAUUCAGGAUGCAAUAAGAAAAUUUCAAUAUCUCUAAAUUUCAUAAUCCCACUCUAAUUCCUUUCGCUACCUCAGAAAAACCGAUGUCUUCUCCCGGUUCUUUCUAAGAGAAUUUAGGUAUUCCAUCGUAAUUCAACGAAAGAGAAAGACUACAUUUUCCUGGAAGUACACAUUUAAGACGAGCUCGUUUGUUGAGGUUCGCGUAUAUAUACACACGUUAGUCUGUUAUUCAAAUGCUCGCAUUGCCGUCGACGUGUCUCGUUCAUUCGGUGCCGCGAAUAACACCGUUCUAUCCCUUACUUACCAUUCAUAUUGUAUCAGGAUUACACGGCCACGUCGGGGAACACCGGUCCGUACAAUAAGGUACGGCCACCGAGAGAUCAGAUGCGAGCCGGUCUAAUUGCAAUUCCGAAUAUUCAGAAGCGAAACCGAAGCUGGCCAACCAAUUGGAUUGUCACGCUCGUGAAGGCUUCUGUUCCCGGUAAAGAACAGAUUCACCUUCCUGAUAUCGCGUUCGAAAAGUGCCACCAUGGAUGGCACAGCUUGAGACGUCUGCAUAUGAGUGACUCCAUUGUUCCCUUAUGUACACACUAGGGUGGACUGACCUGUCUUGUUUAAAGGACGGUCGAGGAUGAGGAUGGGCAGCAGUGCAAUCAAGACAGUGUCGUAUAUUGCGAUGAUUAAGACUUUGAAGGUACACCUUUACGUGACAGUAAAUUGCAACCCUUUAAUUAAGAAAAUAUUCACAUUUCAGAUGUUUGAACUCUGUCAUCUUUUCAAUGGUCAAUUUGAUGAAAAUUUCAUGACAGAAAAGUAUCACGAAAUGGUACUUAUAUAUGAUAUCAAAUUGAAGCUUAAGGUUUGAUAGAGUUUCAUAAAGUUUGAUGAAGUAUCUUCGAGUUUCAUAUACCCUUAAUAUUCUUAAUAGAAAAUUGGACAGUGAAUUGGUUAGCAUGAAAGCUGCAACACGUAUCUUGCUAAGAUAUCACAAAAUAUUCCUUAUGGUCAAUACAGAGCCACUCUUGUAGCUAACCAUGAAACCUCUCUUCUACCGAACUACCAUCCAGAGAAAUCUGUAGCAGCUCGAGUGGCCGUGUAAGAUGGUGGCGGCGGUAACCGAUGGUAUCAAGGGGUUAGUUUCGCAUAGUUAUAUGCAAAGGGUGUAGCAAGACUGGGAAAAGACGUAGGGUGGUGUACAGGGUAGGGCGAAUAAAAUAUGUAUAGACGUCGUUGGUUGUAGCGAAGCUUUAGCCACGGGUUCGAUGGUAAGAACUUUCGAGCCGUGGGUUCCUUCGGCGAACGAGCGGAAGGGGUUGAAGCACAUUGGGCGAGUUUCGAACUCUUAACUGGAAGAGGCCUGCGAUCGAGCGGCCGCGAAAAGGAGUUUCGUACGCGAAACUCGCUAGACCGGAAACAUCGAUCGCGUAUUCCGCAACGCGAGAAAAACGUUUACCAACGCGUGCAGGCUGCUGUGUUGACAAAGUCGUGGGUGCGCGCAAUUCUGCUUCGGAUUAACGAAAAGACACGCUCCUAGCUUCGUCGUUUUCAUACUUUAAUCUAUAGGGUGCAUCAAAAUAGGCGCGCACUUUGCGUCAAGAUAAUAGUACAAGGUUUCUCAAAAAUCCCUUCGUUUUACUUUCAUCUUCUCUUCAAACUCCACGACGAAAUUUUAUGUGCUCCUCAAAUAUCUCUACUCUGCUCGAUCAAUUUUCCAAUUAUCGUAGGAGAUCGAAGAAAAACUCUCUCUUUCACGAGAAUCGCAUAGCUGCACGAGCUACGAGAUGUUUUAAAAAUGAUGCGAACCGUGAGAGCUAUAACUUUUACAAUAUUAAUUUCAACGUAAAGUCAUACAGAAAUUGGAUAUAAAGUGUAACUCUAAUAUUUUUUUCAAAUUAUCAUGAAGUAGGUACUCGAAAAAAGUUGCGCGCUGCGAAAUUGAAAGCUCUUCAAGUUAAAAAUUAUUUUCUUUUAAAGUUUAAUCGAGAUAAAUGUUCGCAUCGAAAUAACGCUACAAAAUGAAAAAAAAUUCGCGAUCCUUCACUUUUUCUAUCGAGUGCAGAGCCUCUCCACGCGAAUUCAUGCGAUUCGAAAAAAAUCCUAGCACAGGUAAAAAAUCAUAAUUAAAUUUGAAUCUAUCGCAGAACGGAAGCCUGCAAUUUCGUUCGAUCUGUUUCGAGGAGCUCGUAUCGAAUACGUCGAUCUCGUCCAUUCGUUUUCGACGAUAAUUUCCAUUCGAGCGUGUACCAGCGAUAACCCUAUUCCUCUUCGGACCUCGGCUCCCAUUCUCCUUUCUUUCACGGUGAUUUGACCGGGAACGGAUACGCAGCCUGGUCCUCGACUGCAAUUCAAUUAUCCAUUCGACGAUAGCUUUCCCGAUCUCUCUUUUCUUCCUUCUCUUGAACAACCUUAACGACACACGUUCGAACCAUCGGAGAACGGAGGAACGAAUGAGACUUAUUUCUGGCGAAAUCUCUGGUCCAGCCAGAGACUCGCGCGGAAUUGAGUGGCGGUGUAGAAAACGAAGGAUGGAGAAAGAAAAAAGGGAUGUGGAUCCAUUACGUGGAAUCUUUUUACACCAAGGAAGUCAAUUAACACGAAUACGAAUCUUCCAUGCUUGCUUUUAUUUUGCAUUCAAAAAUGGGUUAAGACGUUUAAAAAAAGAAAAGUCUUAACCUAAUUAGCUGAGAUUUUAAAAAUGAGGAAUGAAUUUUUUCCACAAAUAUUUCCACAAAUUUUAUAUAUCGAUACAUCAUAAAAUAAUAACAAAAACUCCGUUUAACUCGGUUUUCAUUUAAGAAUUAAUGAUAAUAUUUAUGUAAAAUCAUGAAUUUAUGCGAGUGGCUUUAAUAAUUUGAUGUUGGGUGUCGUCAUAGAGAACGUUGGCCAUUAAUCUGGAAAUUCGCUUCGCGCUUUCACACGUAUCGAUCCGCUUAGCCUUAUUCAAAGUUCAUUAGAAGAUUAGACUGACGCUUCGAGUCUCAAUCGAGGUAACGAACAAUCGCGUGACUUUGUAAACACGCUCUGGAAGCCGGGUAGUCCGACAAUUUUCCUUACACCGUCAACCCGUUUCCAAGCGGAUUUUCCCUUGUGCCGCAGAAAUUUAUCGUCCCUUCACGCGUCAACGUAAAUCGUGCUUCAAUGACCCAAAAUAAACUUUGCCCGGAGAGCAGCGACCGCUCGGUUGGUGUCCACCGCAUUGGGGCCAUAAUUUAACGCCGACCGAUAUCGCUAACCAAGGAACCGGUCAAAAUUGCAUUCUAACGAUAACACGGAAAUUUCAAAACUUUUCAUCCGUUCCUCCGCUAUUAGUAAAUUCGAUAAAUUAAUUUUCGACGGUAGAAAUGACGAAUCGUUGAAAAAGUGUACAUCAGACGCAGGGAGAUUUCGUUGGAUAAUUGUCGCAGCCAAUCGAGCGUCACCACUUUGAGAGCACGGCGCAAAUUAUUCCGACUUAACUACUUGGAUUCAGGAUCACACAAUGGAAGCAACUGGUCUUGAUCGUUAAGCAUACAGAUGAACUACCUCGCGCAAGAUUUCCCGCGUUUCGUCUGUUCGUUCCACGAACAAAGAACGUUCCUCGGAUUCAGCAUCGUUUCCUUCCUCGCUCUAAAAGAGAAUUCUCGGCUGACGUACAAUUUACAUCGAAAUCCAUUUUGCAUUUCGCGUCUUGUCGCUGGUGAAGAGACACCGAUACUAAUGGUCGAUCCACCGAACACAAGAGGGAAGUCCCUGGUGGAGUUUGAUAAAAAAAAAA